rnacentral:rRNA from 1 species
UACGUAGGGGGCAAGCGUUGUCCGGAAUCAUUGGGCGUAAAGAGCGUGUAGGCGGCUCGAUAAGUCUGCUGUGAAAGUCCAGGGCUCAACCCUGGAAGGCCGGUGGAAACUGUCGGGCUAGAGUCCGGAAGAGGCGAGUGGAAUUCCCGGUGUAGCGGUGAAAUGCGCAGAUAUCGGGAGGAACACCAAUGGCGAAGGCAGCUCGCUGGGACGGUACUGACGCUGAGACGCGAAAGCGUGGGAGCGAACAGG